UGAGGAAUAUUGGUCAAUGGACGAGAGUCUGAACCAGCCCUGCCGCGUGAAGGAUGAAGGCGUUCUGCGUUGUAAACUUCUUUUGCGGGGGAAGAAACCUUGAUAUUCUUAUCAAGCCGACGGUACCCCGAGAAUAAGCACCGGCUAACUCCGUGCCAGCAGCCGCGGUAAUACGGAGGGUGCAAGCGUUAUCCGGAUUUACUGGGUUUAAAGGGUGUGUAGGCGGGCUUUUAAGUCAGUGGUGAAAUCUCCGAGCUCAACUCGGAAACUGCCAUUGAUACUAUUAGUCUUGAAUGUUGUUGAGGUGGGCGGAAUAUGUCAUGUAGCGGUGAAAUGCUUAGAUAUGACAUAGAACACCGAUUGCGAAGGCAGCUUGCUAAACAACGAUUGACGCUGAGGCACGAAAGCGUGGGGAUCAAACA
rnacentral:rRNA from 1 species